rnacentral:lncRNA from 1 species
AAACUGAACCAGCGUCAGGAGGCGCCAGUUAAACUCAAAUGUUUCAGCUCAACAAGGCCUGUGAGGUGGUUCCUAUUUCUCCAGUUUUACGUUCUCCGGUAUGUCUUUAUCAGCAGCAUGAAAACAAGACUAAUACACCCCCACACCAUGGUACCGAAGACGGGACACAGCUGCUCUACUGAUUAAAUUCAACUGACGUGAGGUUGCAGCUAUUCUAUUCAUAUAUUCACCAUCCCAUUCUUGAUGAUGUUCCUCAAGCUUACUUAACUUGCACGUGGAUGCAGAAGAAAGGUUUCUUUUGAAAGACUGUUGUAAAUAAAAGAGUCUGUAGUGCUUAUGUUGUUGUUUGUUGACUGACUAUAAAAUAGAUCCUUGCUGAUUUGUACAUUUGAUUUCCCAUGGGGCAGUAACAAUAUGAAAGUAGGAUUAAGGCCGGGCACGGUGGCUCACCCCUGUAAUCCCAGCACUUUGGGAGGCCGAGGCAGGUGUAUCACUUGAGGUCAGGCGUUAGAGACCAGCCUGACCAACAUGGUGAAACUCCAUCCCUACUAAAAAUACAAAAAUUAGCCAGGCGUGGUGGCACGUGCCUGUAGUCCCAGCUACUCAGGAGGCUGAGGCAGGAGAAUCGCUUGAACCCGGGAGGCAAAAGUUGCAGUGAUCCAGGAUCAUGCCACUGUGCAGCAGCCAGAGUAACAGAGUAAGACUCCGUCUCAAAAAAAAAAAAAAAAGAAAAAGAAAAAAGUAGGAUUAUUAUGUGUUUUUCCACACUAUUGUCUUACUGUCUUUGUUCCCCUUCCUAAGUGUUCUUUUCGAAUCGCACCAGGAGAGGGUUAGGAUCACGGUAAUAAGCCAACCCCAGGAAUGUCUCCCAUAACACAUGAAUUAAGUCAGCUGUGGCUUUUUAACACGCUUCGCCCAGUGGCUCCAGGUGCAGAGCGGGGCGGGCAGGAAGGGUCCCAAAGGACCAUGAGGCAGUGCAACUCCUGACCGUGCACUGAGCUUUAAGAGCCUCAGUGCCUGGAUUUGAGAAUUCCAACCUCGGCAUUGCAGCCCUUUUUUUUUUUUUUUUUUAAAUAGUAUGCCCAUCUGUUGGCCUCAUGAGCAAGCAGCUGCACGAGGGCCUGAGUAUCAACAUUCUUAAUGUCAGGUGGUUGUGAAAUUUUGCAUUUGUGACAAAAAGUCUUCAGGGCCGUAAUUAACAGAGUAGGGAAUUUCAAUUCGAAUACUAUAACUUCUUUAAAACUAUGCCCAUCUGCUGGCCUCAUGUCCUCAACAGAGCUUGAGUCCUGAAAGCAACAGGAAAGGAAAAUUACAAAAUGUAAUUGUUAUUUCAAUAAGUUUUGCAGAGAGGAGGGGACAUGGUGGUGAUGAAGUGGUGAGGAAAGAGGGAUGGGCAUGUUCGUAAUUUACAAAGGAAGUAAGAGGAGCUGUUAUAAUUGGAUUUCAAUUCUGCUUUUCAAAAUGUUCUCAGUAGGACCAGGCACAGUGGCUCACAACUGUAAGGACUUUGGGAGGCCAAGGCUGGAGGAUUGCUUGAGGCCAGGAAUGCAAGACCAGCCUGGGCAACAUAGACUCUAUCUCUACAAAAAAAAAAAAAAAAUUCUCAGUAGAAAUUGGGCUGUAGGUUUGGAGAGUCCUGGAUUAAUGUCUUACAAUUAGCAAAACUCAUGGUCUUUGUGCUUUCCUUCUCCCCCAUGACCCCACUCCUUUCCAGCCUACCCCAAAAUUUGAAAAGCAGCUUUAUUUCCUUAUGUAAUAUAGUAAUGUGAGUAAACCUCACACUGAUACUUUUUGUGGCCAAAGUGGGAGAAAGUUCCAGUAAAACGUUGUAACUAUCCAGUCAUGUUACCUGGGUAUCCUUCCAGUCAUUUUUUCUGUGUCUGUAUAUACAUCUAAUUUUACCCCAAAAUUGAGAUCACAUCAGCAUCAUCUACUGAGCAACUAUGGCUGGAAUUAAGGAUAUAAAGAUGAAUAGGACAUAAUCUCUGCCCUGGAGACAAACCACAUAACAGUUAAACAGAUCAUUCACCCUAGGGUGAUAAUGCUUCCUCAAGGAAGGCCCAGAGUGCCACCAAUGAGAGCACUCCUGGACCCAGGAUAAACAAGGCAGACAAAGCUUCCCAGAAGAGGUGUCACCUGCAUGGAAGGAUGAGGAGUUGAUUAGAUGACACAGGGUGAAGAGGGUGUUCCAGGUCAGAGGAGCAGGUCGAUGGUAACAGCGUAUUAAUAGCUGUUCGGAAUUGCUGAAGCAUGCACUAUCCACAAUAGCAAAGACUUGGAACCAACCCAAAUGCCCAUCAAUGAUAGACUGCACAAAGAAAAUGUGCCACAUAUAUACCAUGGAAUACUAUGCAGCCAUAAAAAAGAUGAGUUCAUAUCAUUUGCAGGGACAUGGAUGAAGCUGGAAACCAUCAUCCUCAGCAAACACAGGGACAGAAAACCAAACACCGCAUGUUCUCACUUAUAAGUGGGAGUUGAACGAUGAGAACACAUGGACACAGGGAGGGGAAGAUCACACACCAGGGCCUGUUGGAGGGUAGAGAGGGGAGGGAGAGCAUUAGGAGAAAUACCUAAUGUAGAUGACAGGUUGAUGGGUGCAGCAAACCACCAUGGCACAUGUAUACCUACGUAACAAAGCUGCACAUUCUGCACAUGUAUCCCAGAACUUUAAUUAGAAAAAAAAAAAUUGCCGGAGCAUGAAAUGCCAGUGUGGAGGCUCCUCCACUGAGCAGAGGCCAGGUUGUGGAGGACCUAGAAAGGCGCGCCAAGGAAUGUAGAUUUUACCCCUUGGAAAACAGAAGCAUUUCAAUAUGGUGUUGCUGUUUUGAUAGAUGAUGGUGGAAGCAUGUGAGGUUUGGAUUUGAGACAGAACACACUAUGGAAGACCAGUCAGGAGCCUAGAAUUAGUCCAGGGAACAGAAAGCAAGGAAGAGGGAAAGAAAUCCAAACUAUUGGUGGUUAAGUUCACUGGACUUUGUGACUAUUAUGCGCAUGUAGGAGUUGCAGGACAAAGAGUUACCCAGAUUACCACCAAGGAUGAGGUAAUAAUUAUCUAAUUCAGUUAGACAAGACAGGAAGUGAAGCUUGCCCUAUGGCAGUGGAGGCAGACCAAAGCUGAGUUCAGUUCUCUGCAUGUUGUGUGUAAGGUAAAUAUAUACACAGGGCCAGUAGAUCUGCAGCUUAAGUUCAGACAGGGGUUGAGGGAUAGAGAUACAAGGAUAGAAUUUAUCUGCAUACAAGUAAAAACCAUGAGAGUAGAUGGAUUGAACUAAGGAGCAUGUACAAAGUGAGACGAGCUGCAAGCAAUGAGCUCUAGGCUUCAUGCUUCAGAGGCUCCCAGGGUGUCAAGCUUUGUGGUCAAUAGGUUGAAGGGUCUCUCACCAAACACCUGCGUAGUCAUAAAUCGAGAUGUACCCACACUCCAAGUACAAGAGAUAAUUUAUGAGUCAACCUUUCCUAAAAGGUUAUUCCCAGUAUGUUGACUGACUACAAGAAUCAUUCAUUUAUUUGACAAAUCUUUACUAAGCUCUGUAAAGCAGGCAACAGUUCAAGACCCUGUUGGUGAUGGUAGGAAUGUAACGGCUGUUAGAAUAUGGAAAUAUUGCUGCCCCAGAGGGUAUAUCACAGUGGUUCUCAACUAGGGUGAUUUUACUUCCCAGGAGACAUUUGAAAAUAUCUGGUGACAUUUUUUGGUUGUCAUAACUGAGGGGGAAGUGAAAAUGGCAACUAGUGGGUAGAAGCCAGAGAGAUUCCUAAACAUCCUACAUCAGGACAGCAGCCCCCAACAGCAAAGAGCGAUAACGCUCCCCAAAAUGUCAGUAGCACCACGUUUAAGAAACGCAGGAAUCCAGUCAUGAUUAUGGGGUCCCUGCCAGUGUCCCCACCCCGCCGUGGCCUCUCCCUGGGUUCCGCCCCUCCCACUUUCUCCAUACGAGCCACUGACGUGUUCUUGUAUGCCCCUGAGUGAGCCUGCACACUUUGUUCAGCUUUAUGGCCAGUGUCUGUUCUGCUUGGUUGGUGCCUGAGCCUUAUCAGUUGUUAAAUGUCUUAAAUAUUUUAUAAAUAUUUAUAAAAUAUGGUCUCUCUCUUUAAUGAGUUCGUGAGAAUCAUCUACAUGAUGAUUUUGACUGACAUUCCUUCCUUUAAGAAAGAUAAAACCUUCUACUAAAUAAUAUGUAUGACCAGAAAAAUGAAGCUUUGAUACACCUAGCUCUUUGUGAGGAGUUGGGAAAAUAUAUAUUAGUGGUACAUGAUACUACAAAAGAAAGAAAAUAACAUGAUUAUUGCCAACAUAAAGGAAAAUCUGGAAAAACUCUGAGAAAUGUAAAAGGCAAUGACCUGGACUCAGCUAGUUUAUUCAAAAGUAUAUUAAGGUUAAAAAAUUUAAAUAAUACUCAAAAAGAUAUUUGCAAUAUAGCAGGUGAUAAUAGGAAAGAAACUUUCCCUAAACAGUUGUUGAGCCAGUAAUUUUCCAUCCUUACACUUUUAUAUAAAGUUUAUUAAAUGUGAGUUACUACUACUAUUUGGAUACAUUGUACAACAUUUUAAAAGCUUUAACAUAAACACUCUUAAAAAUAAAAUACCCCAAAGAAAUUGCAUAGCAAAGGAAGUCUGUUUUGAAUAUGUUUUUUCUUUCAGAACAUCCUCACAUAUUGACAUGGUUAGUUACUAAAGAUAAACAUAAAAUAUUAAUCAGCCACCUACAGUGUUGCUGUCUCUUUGGUGCUGCUGAGAACUGGACAACUGAAUUAUGCUUAUUAAAAUGCACUGUGAAUCAGAAAAACAGUUUGGUAAAGGCUUAUUUUCCUGGUCAUACAACUUAAAACAGGGUGGCAUGUCUUUUAGUUCUCAAAGUUCUCCAUUUCAUCACAGCAUUUAGACCUAAAUAGGCAGCAUUUGUGUAAAAGUAGUUUUCCCCAAAAAAUAUCUUUUUAGCCAACAACCUGGACUCCUCAAAAAAUGUGUAAGUGACAGCUGCCUCCAAAGUAUACUUUCAUUUCUUUUGUUACUUGUAAAAGCAACUAUUCUUUUUAGCCAGAAGAUACUAUUGCAGAAACAAAAAGGAAAACAAAAACAAAACGAGUUGUUCAUCUCCACAUAAAAUUUAAGUCAAUGUUUACAUGAAAAUGUCUUUCAAUAACUUAUAUAAAAAAUCCAUUCCAGUUUUUCUGUACAAAAAGAAAAACAUACACGAAUCCAAUGAGAUAUAAUCAAAGUGCUUUUAAAAGUAUAAAGUAGGCUGGGCGCGGUGGCUCAUGCCUGUAAUCUCUGCACUUUGGGAGACCAAGGCGGGUGGAUCACCUGAAGUCAGGAGUUCGAGACCAGCCUGGCCAGCAUGAUGAAACCCUUUCUCUACUGAAAAUACAAAAAUUAGCUGGACAUGGUGCCUGUAAUCCCAGCUACUCGGGGGGCUGAGGCAGGAGAAUCUCUUGAACCCAGGAGGUGGAGGUUGCAGUGAGUCGAGAUCGCACCAUUGUACUCCAGCCUCGGUGAAAACAGCGAAACUCCGUCUCAAAAAAAAAAAAAAAAAAAAAAAGUAUAAAGUAAAAAACUAGUAUCAGUACUUUCUUUGUCACGAGGAAAUUGAAAAUUUAAUCUUAAGAAAGCGCAGGACUGGUUGGGCACGAGAAAAACCAUGAACAACCAUGUAUUUUUGCCCUUAUAAUUAACAUCAUUUAUUGCCACCUGAAAUCUCGCUUGCUGAAAUGGCCUUAAACUUGUCUAUGUUUUUUCAAAAGGAGAAUAUUUUCAUGUUAGCUUUCAUUCAAUGUUUACUCACCAAGUACCUGUUAAGAUUCUGUGUCAUGCCCCACAUACAGUUUGACAUUGUGAACUUUCUCAUAAAUGCCAAGAUACUAAUUACAGAAUCUGCAUUGUGUGUGGUCUAAUAGGGCCAUGGCCUUGGAAAUCAGGUAGGGAUCAGGCUCUGUCCUGGGGCACAUAGAUGGGAACUGAUUCUGAUCCCAUCCAGGUAGCUCUUGAACCACAUUAAAGACUCAAAUUCAUUUGGAACAAAAAAGUCCAUAGUGGUAUGCUCACUAAAUAUUUGUUAAUCAACUUGAUAUUUUAGAAUGUAUAUAUCUUUCUGUGUUUUAUCAGACAUCUCAGAUUUAAGACAUACUAUUGAUUCAUUACUGCCCUUGAAAUUUUAGGAGACGGACUUACAUGCAUACAUACACGAAUCCAGCUGGAAAGAAUCUGUUUUGUAGAAAUGUUCUUAUCUGUUAUAAAUGGCUUGUAUUGAGAUGCAAAAUUUUCAUAACAUUUAGAGAAACCAAACUUUCCUAAUGUUUCAGAGUUUUAAAAGACUUCAAAAUCUUUGGGCCUCAACUACUAACAAACUCUACAGCACAUGUGAAAAGUCCAUGGCUGGAUAUUUCCAUGGAGAAUCAAAAUUGGGCCACACCUAAACUUUCAUUUUUCAACAUCUAUUGAGAAUCUCUUUGUCAGAUUACCCCUUCUUCCUAAUUCUCAGUUUCUGUGUCUGCCAAGUGUGAAUAAUAAAGUUUCUUAUAUCAUCAUGUUGUUGUUAGGUGUAAAUGAAACAGUGCAUGCAAAGGUGUAAAUGAAUAGUUCUAGGACACUCCUACUUGGUCGGUCAGGCACAUCGAAGCAGCUGCCUCCAGUCCGCUAAGUCACUCCCGGCCUGACCCGAGCACCUCAUUUCAUGCCUGAGUCUGUAGGUGUAAAUGAAAUACUGCGUGCAAAUGAGUAAAUACAUUUUUAUUCAUAGACAAAUAGGAUAUUAGAGCUGGAAGAACCUCAAAUAUCUAGUCCUCCUUCUGUUUAGAAAUGAGAAAAUUAACCCCCAGAGAGAGUAACUUGAAGAAAGUCACACAGCUUAUCAGCGGGAGGUCUAAAAUCAAAACCCGGGUCUCAGGACGUCCAGCUUGGUGCUAUUUGCAAAAUAUUAUCCUAGGGUAGAAGCUAAACUAACUUUGAAAUAAUAGUAAACUUUGUGCCGUAAAAUACACCACAAAGUUCUACCCCCAAGCUAGCCACUCAUCAAAAAGUUUCUCUUAUUUUAGACUAUAAUACAAGCCCUCGACAGUGACUAAUUUGAUUUAUUUUCUGGAUUAGCUACUAUAGGUGCUUUUAAAAAUGUUUUUCCACAGGCUUUCUCAUGGAAACAGAGCUAAAUAUGAACACUCAUUAAUCUUUUUCCCAAAUCUGCAGAGGAAUUUUAAUAGAUCUACAAGCUGUAAUAUCGAACAGGUUCUCCUGCGUCCUGAAUUCCUCUGUACCAUUGGCCCAUCCCUGAGAUUGUGAACCCUACAUAGAAAUCUGGGAGUGGAAAAGCAGCUGAGAGUAGAGGGGCUGAGAUUUUGGGGAAGAGGGUUGCUAGGCGCAGAGGGUAGUACCAGCUUCUCUGCACUCACCUCUGCUUUGUUCUGAGGUCCUCUCUACCUGGGUCCCAAGGCUAUUUGAUUAAUCAAAACCCGCUGGGGAAGCUUGUUUUGUUGGCUUAAAAAGAAUUUGUUCAUGUAUUUUAAUUUUUUAACCUUUGAUUAUGGACAUUUUCAAACAUUCACAAAAGUAGACAGUACUACAUAAUGAAUGCCAUGUAUUCUCACCCAACUUCAACAAACUACCAACAUUUGUCCAUAUUUUCUCAUUUAUUCCUCCCCACUUUUUUGCCCACUUCUAAAUUUUUAAAAGUAAAUCCCAGUCAUCAUAUCAUUUUGUCCAUAAGUUCAUCAGUGUGUAUAUCUAACAGAUAUAGACUUAAAAAAGGGCUGGGCGCGGUGGCUCGUGCUUGUAACACCAGCACUUUGGGAGGCCGAGGUGGGCGGAUCACCUGAGGUCAGGAGUUCGAGACCAGCCUGGCCAACAUGGUAAAACCCCAUCUCUACUAAAAACACCAAAAUUAGCCAGGUGUGGUGUGGGUGCCUGUAAUCCCAGCUACUCGGGAGGCUGAGGUAGGAGAAUUGCUUGAACCUGGGAGGCAGAGGUUGCAGUGACCUGAGAUCGCACCACUGCACUCCAGCCUGGGCAACAGAGCGAGAUUUCAUCUCAUAAAGAAAAUAGAUAAUCACAAUGUCAUUAUCACACUUGACAAAGUUAGCAAUAAAUCUUUAAUACAUGUAACAUUUAAUUGGUGUUGUUCUUCCAAAUUUUCUUUAAAACAUAUUUAAAAAUUGGUUUGAAUCAAAAUCCAAACAAGAUCCUAACAUUGUAUUCAGUUUGUUUUCUAACUCUCCUUAAAUAUUUUACUUUCUCCCCUCCCCUUUCACCUAUUCCCAUUUUUCUCUAUGCCUUUGUUCAAAAAUGGGUUAUUUUGUCUCUUAGGAUUUCCCUUAUUCUGAGUUUGGGAGACUGUAUCCUUAGUGAGUCAAUUGAUAUGUUCCUCGAUCCCUCACAUUUUCUAUCAACUGGUGGAUCAAGAUGCUUAGUUAGAUUCAGGCUCAGUCUUCAGGCUUUAAUACCUCAUAGGAGGUAGGACAUCCUAUGUGCAGCUGUCUAUCCCCCUUUUAGGGACAAGAUUCAUCAGUGGGCUCAGGUGUUGUCAGACUGCCCCACCGUUAUAAGGUUUCUCUUCAACCUUUUACCUAAUGUUUCAAAGAGGCUCUCAUUCCUCCUGCAUUUGUAAACUGGGAUUCUAUUACAAGGAGAGAAUUUUGCCCAUCCACUAUCUGGUUUUCCUGAAAGAAAGUACAGGGAAGGCAAGAUAGAUGCCUUUUUUUCCCUUUCUAAAGUUUUAUCUUCAAUUCAUUUUUUGGAAUAUCACUAUUGUCUCCUGAAUUUUUAUUUCACAUAUUUGAUAUGUCGUAAUCCACUGCACGCAUUCUCUUUGCUGCUGAAAUUGCCCCAUUUUUGACCAACAGGAGUUCUCAAAUUGGCUCUUGUGUCCUUUUGACACGACCCAAGUUUGGCAGCCUCCUUUCUUUCUGGCAUGAUAAGAUGACCGAGUAUCAUGUCGUACACCGUCUGCUCUCGGUGUGUGCCUCCCUGGAUUGGCUUGGCCGUUGUCUUUUGCUCAGUGCUGUUGAAGACCCACUGGGAAGGCCAGCUGGCACUGACCACAGCUACAGGGAGCUUUGGUUAAGAAAGCUCAUUAAGUUUCAUCACCCUCUUCGUGGUGGAGGCCAGUAGUUCUAGGACACUCCUACUUAUCGGUCAGGCACAUUGAAGCAGCUGCUUCCAGUCCUCUAAGUCACUCCUGGCAUGAUCCAAGCACCUCAUUUCAUGCCUCGGACUGUAGGCCUGUCCUCCCACCUGGAGUUUGUAGGUCAUCACUAGAGCGCACCUGCUCACCUGGCUGCCUACAUGCUGCAGGCUGCUGCCGGGGGGCCGUAAUUUGCACCUGCACACUCGUGUGCUUGGCAUACUGAGGCUCUAUUAGUCAGGCUGCCCAAAGGGCCCCAGCAAGAGAAGCAGGAAGUGAGGCAAACUUUGACCAGUGGGGGAAGAGAGACAGGAAGGGGCUGGCCGAUUAUUUACCCUUCCUUCUUGCUAACAUUGUUCCAGGACGCAAUGAUUUCAUGUCACCUCUCAGAUGAUAUCCCUGCUGACCUGGCAGCCAGCUGCGUUUUCUAGAAGAAUUCCGGCUGGUCAGCGAUGUACUCUUAUAUAUUUGCUUCCCUUCUUCUUUGCCUCUUUUUUCUUUUAUCCUCAUUUUUGCUUCCCUGGGGUUACACCACACACACCCACACCCACACACACACACCCCUCAAUAAAAAGUUAGCAUGUAAGUUUUAAGUUUUAAUGAUAAAUAUAUAUUAACAUUUCAAUAAAUAGCCACAACACAUUUUCAGUUAAGAGCACACAAAUACCUUCCUUAAAAACCCGUAAAAUCAUUAUUGUUACAAUAAUUUCAGUUUGAAAGACAUCAGCUGACAAAACAAUGCUCUCCUAAGCUUUGCAUUUUCAUACCCAACACCUUGAACAGAAGAGUUAUGGUGCACACUUUUGACAGAAAGCUUCCAAACCAGGGAAUGCAAUGCUCUUGGCACAGCUGCAAAGAAAUCCUUUACAUAAUUCACUCUUAAAUAAAACUCAGAAUCCAGGGCUCAGCAGGGUAACUCUGUAACUGGUUUGCUCUCCUCUUAACAGAUUCACCAAAGUUUAUAGCACGUGCACAAAUCAAUUUAUAGAUAGUGUUAUUAUUUGAUAUGGCUUGGUUUGCUUUGUUUUUAGCAUUGGUUAUUUUUUUAUACAAUAAAUUAAUUGGACCGCAGCCGGCAGUGAGUGGCAAAUCAAGAAAAGGAGGUUUGAUUGUGGAAAGCAGUAUGGCGAUUUCUCAAAGAGCUAAAAAACAGAACUACUAUUAGACCCAGCAAUCCCAUUACUGGGUAUAUACCGAAAGGAAUAUAAAUCAUUCUCCCGUAAAGAUACAUGCACGCGUAUGUUCAUUGUAGCGCUAUUCACAAUAGCAAAGACAUGGAAUCAACCUAAAUGCUCACCAAUAGCAGACUGGAUAAAGAAAAUGUGGUACACGCACACCAUCAAAUACAACGCAGCCAUAGAAAAAGAACGUGAUCGUGUCCUUUGUAGCAACAUAGAUGGAGCUGGAGACCAUUGUCCUUAAACUAACACAGGAACAGAAAACCAAAUAUCGUAUGUUCUCACAUAUAAGUGGGAGCUAAAUGAUGAGAAUAUAUGGACACAUAGAGGGGAACAACACCCACUGGGGCCUUUUAGUGAGUGGAGGGUGGGAGGAGGGAGGGGAUCAGGAAAAAUAACUAAUGGGUACUAGUCUUGAUACCUGGAUGAUGAAAUAAUCUGUACAACAAACCCCCAUGACACAAGUUUAACUACAUAACAAACCUGCACAUGUACACCGCAACCUAAAAUAAAAGUUAAGGAAAAAAAAAAAGGUUUGGGGGAUUUUGGUUCCUUGGAAUUGACAGUAACUAUAGGAAGCCUUUGUAAAAAUAAAGAUUCUCUGCUUCAUAUUUGAGAAAUUCAGAUUUAGUAAGAGCUGAGAUGGGGCCUGGACAAUUGUACCUUUCUAAAGCUCUUCAGAUUAUUCUGUUGUACAAUUGGGUUUUAGAAGCAGUUCUCAUACCCUUGUCUUCCUCUUGAAGGGGAGGGAAGAAAGUGGAUGAAGUUUUGAAAUAAUCACACCUACCUACCCCAGCUAUUCUCUUUUCUUGGCUCCAUUUUUUUAAAAUGGAAGAAAAAUUGGGCUUCAUGUGUAAGCUCUCAAGUCUAUUCAAGCAUUUUUACAGAAAUAAUCAAAUUUUCCAUCCAAUUAAGUGAAUCUGCAUUCAAAACAGAAGAAAUCAUGGGUACUGAAUCCUUAUUGUCACUACACAACUCAAUGUCUGUGUCCGUGCUGGAUAUAUAAGCCUAAGCUGCAGAUGGUUUUGAAUGCUUAUUGCUAUUGUUUUGUUUUUUAAUCAGUGAGACUCUCAAAAUCCCAGCAUCACUCAUCUGCCAACACCAAAAACUGCUGGAGCUAAUAAGUUGUCACCAAAACAUUACUAAAGGAAGCUACUUUGUUUAAAAUAUGUUUUGCUGUGCUAUGAACAACUCCAACUAUACAGAAAAGUAUACGGAAUGGUACACAGUAUCAUCUAGUUUUGUCAAAUCAUCUAGUUUUGUCAAAUCUUGACAUCUAUUCCUCUUCUUCUAAGAAACAAAACAUUAUAGAUAAGAAGCUUUGUUACCCACUCAUCAAUCUCAUUCUUCUCACUCCCCUUGGAGACAUAACCACUUUUCUGAAUAUAAAUAUAUUAGAUCAGGUGUGGUGACUCACACCUAUAAUCCCAGCACUUUGGGAGGCCAAGGCAGGAGAAUCACUUGAGGCCAGGAGUUUGAGACCAUUUUGGGCAACAUAGCGAGACCUCGUCUCUACAAAAAAGAAAUAAUAAAAUAAAAAAUUAGGCACAGUGUCACAUGCCUGUAGUCCCAGCUACUUGGGAGGCCUAGGCAGGAGAAUCAUUUGAGCCCAGGAGUUCGAGGCUGCGAUGGUUGCUGCACUGCACGCCAGCCUGGGCCACAAGUAAGACCAUGUCUCAAAAAAUAUAUAUAUUAUUCUUACAUCUUAACAAGUUCACUACAUAUGUAUCCAUAAGUAAUACAAAACGGUAUUCGACAUUUUGUAAAAUUAUGUUUUAUUAUACUGUAUUUAGCCUUCUCCAGAAAGCUUUGGAAUAAACAUUAUGUUUAAUACUUACAUAUUUCGACACGUGUGGUCUUUGUUCACUCAAUAUAACUACCUUUUAUCCCAGCAUCUGAAUAUCCCACAAUGCAUUUAGUCAUCUUUUCUAAUGGACAUUUAUGUCAUUUUCAAACAUCACUGUUUAAGCAAUGUUGCCGUGAACUCAUAUGCAUUAGUCACCUGGUGCCAGAGUAAUAAACAACCCUCAAGUCUCAGAGGCUUACAAUGCAAAACAUUUAUUUUUCUCUCAAUGAGAUCACGGUUUGGAGAUAAGUUCAACUCUAAAACUGGGGCAUGAGGGACCGGAUGCAGUGGCUCACACCUGGAAUCUCAGCACUUUGGCAAGCUGAGGCGGGCAGACCACUUGAGGUCAGGAGUUCCAGACCAGCCUGGCCCCCAUGGUGAAACCUGGUCUCUACUAAAAAUACAAAAAAACUAGCUGGAUAUGGUGGUGGGUGCCUGUAAUCCCAGCUACUCGGGAGGCUGAGGCAGAAGAAUUGCUUGAACUUUGGAGGCAGAGGUUGCAGUGAACCAAGAUUGUGCCAUUGCACUCCAGCCUGGGUGACAGAGCAUGACUUCAUAAAAAUAAAAUAAAUAAAACUGGGGCAUGAGGGAACAGAGAAAAGGAAAAGAAAAACAGGAAAUUUCCAUAGCCUAAGAAUUAUAUAUUCCCUUUCCUGCUCUUCAAGCUGGACUAGAGUAUUCUUCUGGAGCUCUCUGUCCUUACUCCGGAGCUGGCCAGGGAGAGUGAAAGAAGGAAAAAAAAAAAGUAAACUCACUACCAGUUAAAUGCUACUUGAAUUCUGAUCUUCUGUGUUCUGCCUCCUACUAUUUACUUUCCAGGAUCCUCAAAUAGCUGCUGCAUGCAUUCUGUCUUAGUUUUACGGCUGCUGUUCAGUGGGAGAGACAUCGAGUAGAGUGUACGUGCUCCAUAUUAUUUGGAACCAGAAUCUGCUUUCUAAAUUUUAAAAAGUUAUCUUGUGAAUUGCAUUGUUGCAUGGUAAAUGCACCUGACAGCAAUAACUUAACACACCUGAGAAUGACCCUGUAUGGCAGACACACCUGAAUGUGUGUGUGGCGCUCUGAAGUAAGGAAUCCCAAAGUGCUGAACUCCGAAAUUCAUUCCUUAUCUAUGAGGAACAUCUGAGCCCCAGCGCAUCCCAUGGAACAUGGGCUUUAUGAAGGGAUUGAGGCCUUUUGGGUUAAAUGAGGAUUGCCACAUGGGGGUUGCAGGGGAAGGGUGCUAAGUGAAGGUGCUAAAUAAACUACACGCUUCCUGCACGCAUAUAAACCACACGCUUCCUGCACGCAUAUACACCACACGCUUCCUGCGCGCAUAUACACCACACGCUUCCUGCGCGCAUAUAAACCACACGCUUCCUGCGCGCAUAUAAACCACACGCUUCCUUCAGUGGCAGCAGUUCUCCCAUCCGCCUGCCAUCACUGCACUGCCCUGUAUGUAAGCCCCCUUCGAUCAACCCCAUAUUUCAUUUGCUGGCUCUGGGUCUCUUCCUCGGCCUCUCAAACCUGGUGCCAUCCUGUUGGAGUUAAUAAGGGUCCAGCAAGACAAUUAUAUAAGGAAAAUAGUCAAUAUUCUAUUAAUAGUUUGAUAUUUUUUGAGGCUUGUUUUGUAGCCUACUAAACAUCAAUUAUUGUGGGGGUUUAUUUGUGCUUGUUUAGAAAACAAAUGCUCAUUACCAUCUCUUCCUCUCAUUUGCUUUUAUAAUAACACCACAGCUCGUUUCACUGGUGUGCUAGAACCAGCAACCACCAGCUCAUCGCUGCGACUGUGGAAAACACUCUUCCCAGCUCCGCAUGCGGAUGUUACGUUGAUAGUCUCAGGUCGGCCGUGGUGGGAAUAGCUGCACCACAGUUAUGAGAGCUCUCCCUUCCGAUUCCCUUCCCCUACCCCCACUCCAGAGCUGGUUGUUAAGCAUUUCUCAGCACACCUUACACCUUUUCGCUUCCACAAAUACAUCGUCUUCUUCUACCUCAACCAAGUCAUAAAAACUUCCCCA